rnacentral:rRNA from 1 species
UGGAACCUACUGCCGUUGCCUCGGCGGGCCGCGCUUACCCGGUAGCUACCCUGUAGCUACCCGGUAGCGCGUUACGGGCCCGCCGGUGGACUUCUCAACUCUGUUAUAUAUAUACGUAUCUCUGAAUGCUUCUAACUAAAUAAGUUAAAACUUUCAACAACGGAUCUCUUGGUUCUGGCAUCGAUGAAGAACGCAACAAAAUGCGAUAAGUAAUGGGAAUUGCAAAAUUCAGUGAAUCAUCUAAUCUUUGAACGCACAUUGCGCCCAUUAAUAUUCUAGUGGGCAUGCCUGUUCGAGCGUCAUUUCAACCCUUAAGCCCUGUUGCUUACUGUUGGGAUUCUAGGCCCCCAGGGCCCUAGUUCCUCAAAGUGAUCGGCGGAGUCGGCGUAUACUCUGAGCGUAGUAGUGUUCUUCUCGCUUUUGUAGUAUCCCCGGCGGCUUGCCGUAAAACACCUAUAUCUUAGUGGUUGACCUCGAAUCAGGUAGGAAUACCCGCUGAACUUACCCAUAUCAUAAGCCCCAAGAAAAAA